rnacentral:rRNA from 1 species
UACGGGGGGAGCAAGCGUUGUUCGGAUUUACUGGGCGUAAAGGGCGCGUAGGCGGCCAGCGCAAGUCAGCUGUGAAAUCUCCGGGCUUAACUCGGAACGGUCAACUGAUACUGCGCGGCUAGAGUGCAGAAGGGGCAACUGGAAUUCUCGGUGUAGCGGUGAAAUGCGUAGAUAUCGAGAGGAACACCUGCGGCGAAGGCGGGUUGCUGGGCUGACACUGACGCUGAUGCGCGAAAGCCAGGGGAGCGAACGGG